UGGCGGCGUGCCUAAUACAUGCAAGUCGAACGCACUGACGUCGACAGAAGGUGCUUGCACUGGAAGUUGAUUGACGUGAGUGGCGGACGGGUGAGUAACACGUGGGUAACCUGCCCUUAAGCGGGGGAUAACAUUUGGAAACAGAUGCUAAUACCGCAUAAAAGUUGAGAUCACAUGGUCUUAAUUUGAAAGACGGCCUUUGGCUGUCACUUAAGGAUGGACCCGCGGCGUAUUAGCUAGUUGGUGAGAUAAUAGCCCACCAAGGCGAUGAUACGUAGCCGACCUGAGAGGGUAAUCGGCCACAUUGGGACUGAGACACGGCCCAAACUCCUACGGGAGGCAGCAGUAGGGAAUCUUCCACAAUGGACGAAAGUCUGAUGGAGCAACGCCGCGUGAGUGAAGAAGGUUUUCGGAUCGUAAAACUCUGUUGUUGGAGAAGAACAGGGACUAGAGUAACUGUUAGUCCUUUGACGGUAUCCAACCAGAAAGCCACGGCUAACUACGUGCCAGCAGCCGCGGUAAUACGUAGGUGGCAAGCGUUGUCCGGAUUUAUUGGGCGUAAAGCGAGCGCAGGCGGUUUCUUAAGUCUGAUGUGAAAGCCUUCGGCUUAACCGAAGAAGUGCAUCAGAUACUGGGAAACUUGAGUGCAGAAGAGGAAAGUGGAACUCCAUGUGUAGCGGUGAAAUGCGUAGAUAUAUGGAAGAACACCAGUGGCGAAGGCGGCUUUCUGGUCUGUAACUGACGCUGAGGCUCGAAAGUAUGGGGAGCGAACAGGAUUAGAUACCCUGGUAGUCCAUACCGUAAACGAUGAAUGCUAAGUGUUGGAGGGUUUCCGCCCUUCAGUGCUGCAGCUAACGCAUUAAGCAUUCCGCCUGGGGAGUACGACCGCAAGGUUGAAACUCAAAGGAAUUGACGGGGGCCCGCACAAGCGGUGGAGCAUGUGGUUUAAUUCGAAGCUACGCGAAGAACCUUACCAGGUCUUGACAUCUAGCGCCAAUCCUAGAGAUAGGACGUUCCCUUCGGGGACGCUAAGACAGGUGGUGCAUGGUUGUCGUCAGCUCGUGUCGUGAGAUGUUGGGUUAAGUCCCGCAACGAGCGCAACCCUUAUGAUUAGUUGCCAGCAUUUAGUUGGGCACUAAAGUCAGACUGCCGGUGACAAACCGGAGGAAG
rnacentral:rRNA from 1 species